rnacentral:misc_RNA from 1 species
AAACCAUAUCGAGGUGGUAAAUCACUGGCAAAUAUAUGAACAUAUAAAAUCAGAGAGACAGAAUCUUGAAAGUUGUUCAAACCAUUACAUGCAGAAUUUCACAUUUACCAGCGUGGGGCUGGAACAACCACAUCAUGGCGAUCAACUGUAUAUAGAACAGCAAUUACAGUCCAUACAGGAAACAGGAAAUGAAUAUGCCAAUUAUUUAUGUUAUAUUGAUAAAGACUUGCCAAUGACAAUCUUCAUUUGGGCCUCUAAUUCAACUUGAAUUGAUUUGUGGCAUUUUAUUUCUAUAACAUGACCAUAGUAGCCACUGAAACGACCCUGGCAUAUUCUUAUUCUAUUACCAACUAAAGAAUCAUGUCCUCCCCUUCCACCUCUAUUCCUUCCACCAGCUGUAGCAUUAAGUAGAAGUAAUAACGCCUUUUAAGAAGAAUAUUGAUGGCAUUAUACU